rnacentral:rRNA from 1 species
GAUGAACGCUAGCGAUAGGCUUAACACAUGCAAGUCGAGGGGCAGCACAAGGUAGCUUGCUAUCUGGGUGGCGACCGGCGCACGGGUGCGUAACGCGUAUGCAACUUGCCCUAUACAGGAGGAUAACCCGUCGAAAGACGGACUAAUACUGCGUAUGCUCACAACUUGGCAUCAAGUGGUGAGGAAAGAAAUUCGGUAUAAGAUAGGCAUGCGUCCCAUUAGCUUGUUGGUGAGGUAACGGCUCACCAAGGCAACGAUGGGUAGGGGAACUGAGAGGUUUAUCCCCCACACUGGUACUGAGACACGGACCAGACUCCUACGGGAGGAAGCAGUGAGGAAUAUUGGUCAAUGGGCGCGAGCCUGAACCAGCCAAGUCGCGUGAAGGAUGACUGUCUUAGGGAUUGUAAACUUCUUUUAAACGGGAAUAACAAGAGUCACGUGUGACUCCCUGCAUGUACCGUAUGAAUAAGCAUCGGCUAACUCCGUG